rnacentral:rRNA from 1 species
UACGAAGGGGGCUAGCGUUGCUCGGCAUUACUGGGCGUAAAGGGCGCGUAGGCGGCACUGUUAGUCAGGCGUGAAAGUCCUGGGCUCAACCUGGGAACUGCCUUUGAUACUGAAGAUCUUGAGUUCGGGAGAGGUGAGUGGAACUGCGAGUGUAGAGGUGAAAUUCGUAGAUAUUCGCAAGAACACCAGUGGCGAAGGCGGCUCACUGGCCCGAUACUGACGCUGAGGCACGAAAGCGUGGGGAGCAAACAGG